GACGAACGCUGGCGGCGUGCUUAACACAUGCAAGUCGAACGGAAAGGCCCUGCUUGCAGGGUGCUCGAGUGGCGAACGGGUGAGUAACACGUGGGUGAUCUGCCCCUUACUUUGGGAUAAGCCUGGGAAACUGGGUCUAAUACUGGAUAGGACCAUGCUGUAGGUGGUGUGGUGGAAAGAUUAGUUUCGGUAAGGGAUGAGCUCGCGGCCUAUCAGCUUGUUGGUGGGGUAAUGGCCUACCAAGGCGUCGACGGGUAGCCGGCCUGAGAGGGUGGACGGCCACAUUGGGACUGAGAUACGGACCAGACUCCUACGGGAGGCAGCAGAGGGGAAUAUUGCACAAUGGGCGCAAGCCUGAUGCAGCGACGCCGCGUGGGGGAUGACGGCCUUCGGGUUGUAAACUCCUUUCAGCCAUGACGAAGCCCUUGUGGUGACGGUAGUGGUAGAAGAAGCACCGGCUAACUACGUG
rnacentral:rRNA from 1 species